rnacentral:pre_miRNA from 1 species
UACAGGCAGGCUGGCUGGCCUGGAGGCUGGACUGGGCAGGUAUCUCUUCCAAAGGCUCACUCUCAAGCAUGACUAAGAGC